rnacentral:rRNA from 1 species
UAAAGAAUUUCGGUCAUCGAUGGGGAUGCGUUCCAUUAGCUUGUUGGCGGGGUAACGGCCCACCAAGGCAUCGAUGGAUAGGGGUUCUGAGAGGAAGGUCCCCCACAUUGGAACUGAGACACGGUCCAAACUCCUACGGGAGGCAGCAGUGAGGAAUAUUGGUCAAUGGGCGCUAGCCUGAACCAGCCAAGUAGCGUGAAGGAUGACUGCCCUAUGGGUUGUAAACUUCUUUUAUAUGGGAAUAAAGUGCAGUAUGUAUACUGCUUUGCAUGUACCUUAUGAAUAAGGAUCGGCUAACUCCGUGCCAGCAGCCGCGGUAAUACGGAGGAUCCGAGCGUUAUCCGGAUUUAUUGGGUUUAAAGGGAGCGUAGGCGGGUUGUUAAGUCAGUUGUGAAAGUUUGCGGCUCAACCGUAAAAUUGCAGUUGAUACUGGCAUCCUUGAGUACAGUAGAGGUAGGCGGAAUUCGUGGUGUAGCGGUGGAAUGCUUAGAUAUCACGAAGAACUCCGAUUGCGAAGGCAGCCUGCUGGACUGUAACUGACGCUGAUGCUCGAAAGUGUGGGUAUCAAACAGGAUUAGAUACCCUGGUAGUCCACACAGUAAACGAUGAAUACUCGCUGUUUGCGAUAUACAGUAA